GCUCAGAACGAACGCUGGCGGCGUGGAUAAGACAUGCAAGUCGAACGGAACUAUUUGAGUAGCAAUAUGAGAAUAGUUUAGUGGCGAACGGGUGCGUAACACGUGGAUACAUUCCGGGAAGCGGGGGAUAGCCCAGGGAAACUUGGAUUAAUACCGCAUGUGAUCGAAAGAUCAAAGACGGGGACCGAAAGGCCUGUCACUUCCCGAUUGGUCCGCGGCCUAUCAGCUAGUUGGCGGGGUAAAAGCCCACCAAGGCUACGACGGGUAGCUGGUCUUAGAGGACGACCAGCCACACUGGAACUGAGACACGGUCCAGACACCUACGGGUGGCAGCAGUCGAGAAUCUUUCACAAUGGGGGCAACCCUGAUGGAGCGACGCCGCGUGGAGGAUAAGGUCUUCGGAUUGUAAACUCCUGUCAUGCGCGAACAAGGUUGCAAGGUUAAUAACUUUGCAAAUUGAUGGUACCGCAAGAGGAAGAGACGGCUAACUCUGUGCCAGCAGCCGCGGUAAUACAGAGGUCUCAAGCGUUGUUCGGAAUCACUGGGCGUAAAGGGUGCGUAGGUGGCGUGGUAAGUCAGAUGUGAAAGCCCAGGGCUCAACCCUGGAACUGCAUCCGAUACUACCAUGCUAGAGUAUCGA
rnacentral:rRNA from 1 species